rnacentral:rRNA from 1 species
GAAAGGCGCUUUCGGGUGUCGCUGAUGGAUGGACCCGCGGUGCAUUAGCUAGUUGGUGAGGUAACGGCUCACCAAGGCGACGAUGCAUAGCCGACCUGAGAGGGUGAUCGGCCACAUUGGGACUGAGACACGGCCCAAACUCCUACGGGAGGCAGCAGUAGGGAAUCUUCGGCAAUGGACGAAAGUCUGACCGAGCAACGCCGCGUGAGUGAAGAAGGUUUUCGGAUCGUAAAACUCUGUUGUUAGAGAAGAACAAGGAUGAGAGUAACUGUUCAUCCCUUGACGGUAUCUAACCAGAAAGCCACGGCUAACUACGUGCCAGCAGCCGCGGUAAUACGUAGGUGGCAAGCGUUGUCCGGAUUUAUUGGGCGUAAAGCGAGCGCAGGCGGUUUCUUAAGUCUGAUGUGAAAGCCCCCGGCUCAACCGGGGAGGGUCAUUGGAAACUGGGAGACUUGAGUGCAGAAGAGGAGAGUGGAAUUCCAUGUGUAGCGGUGAAAUGCGUAGAUAUAUGGAGGAACACCAGUGGCGAAGGCGGCUCUCUGGUCUGUAACUGACGCUGAGGCUCGAAAGCGUGGGGAGCAAACAGGAUUAGAUACCCUGGUAGUCCACGCCGUAAACGAUGAGUGCUAAGUGUUGGAGGGUUUCCGCCCUUCAGUGCUGCAGCUAACGCAUUAAGCACUCCGCCUGGGGAGUACGACCGCAAGGUUGAAACUCAAAGGAAUUGACGGGGGCCCGCACAAGCGGUGGAGCAUGUGGUUUAAUUCGAAGCAACGCGAAGAACCUUACCAGGUCUUGACAUCCUUUGACCACUCUAGAGAUAGAGCUUCCCCUUCGGGGGCAAAGUGACAGGUGGUGCAUGGUUGUCGUCAGCUCGUGUCGUGAGAUGUUGGGUUAAGUCCCGCAACGAGCGCAACCCUUAUUGUUAGUUGCCAUCAUUUAGUUGGGCACUCUAGCAAGACUGCCGGUGACAAACCGGAGGAAGGUGGGGAUGACGUCAAAUCAUCAUGCCCCUUAUGACCUGGGCUACACACGUGCUACA